CAAGGCGACGAUACGUAUGCCGACCUGAGAGGGUGAUCGUGCCACACUGGAANUGAUGACACGGUCCANACUCCUACGGGAGGCAGCAGUAGGGAAUCUUCCNCAAUGGGCGAAAGCCUGACGGAGCAAGCGCCGCGUGAGUGAUGAAGGUCUUCGCGAGUCUGUAAACUCUG
rnacentral:rRNA from 1 species